GCCUCUUGACUCUUAUAAGAGGUCCAGCCUGCCCAGUGACCAUGUUCAACGGCCGCGGUAUCCUAACCGUGCGAAGGUAGCGUAAUCACUUGUUCUUUAAAUGCGGACUAGUAUGAAUGGCACCACGAAGGUUAUACUGUCUCCUUUUUCUAAUCAGUGAAACUAAUCUCCCCGUGAAGAAGCGAGGAUAUAUCUAUAAGACGAGAAGACCCUAUGGAGCUUUAAACAACACAGCAAUUACCUGCUAAACUAAGAAGUUUCUGAACAUUUUCAAUCUUUUAAGUAAUCUGACUGCAAGUUUUUGGUUGGGGUGACCACGGAGCAUAACACAACCUCCAUGUUGAAAGAAUUCUUUCUAAGCCAAGAACAACCUUUCUAAGCAUCAAUAUAUUGACAUCCAUUGACCCAAUACAUUUGACCAACGAACCAAGUUACCCUAGGGAUAACAGCGCAAUCCACUUCAAGAGCUCCUAUCGACAAGUGGGUUUACGACCUCGAUGUUGGAUCAGGGUAUCCCAGUGGUGCAGCCGCUACUAAAGGUUCGUUUGUUCAACGAUUAAAACCCUA
rnacentral:rRNA from 1 species